AGCGUACACGGUGGAUGCCCUGGCAGUCAGAGGCGAUGAAGGACGUGCUAAUCUGCGAUAAGCGUCGGUAAGGUGAUAUGAACCGUUAUAACCGGCGAUUUCCGAAUGGGGAAACCCAGUGUGUUUCGACACACUAUCAUUAACUGAAUCCAUAGGUUAAUGAGGCGAACCGGGGGAACUGAAACAUCUAAGUACCCCGAGGAAAAGAAAUCAACCGAGAUUCCCCCAGUAGCGGCGAGCGAACGGGGAGGAGCCCAGAGCCUGAAUCAGUGUGUGUGUUAGUGGAAGCGUCUGGAAAGGCGCGCGAUACAGGGUGACAGCCCCGUACACAAAAAUGCACAUGCUGUGAGCUCGAUGAGUAGGGCGGGACACGUGGUAUCCUGUCUGAAUAUGGGGGGACCAUCCUCCAAGGCUAAAUACUCCUGACUGACCGAUAGUGAACCAGUACCGUGAGGGAAAGGCGAAAAGAACCCCGGCGAGGGGAGUGAAAAAGAACCUGAAACCGUGUACGUACAAGCAGUGGGAGCACGCUUAGGCGUGUGACUGCGUACCUUUUGUAUAAUGGGUCAGCGACUUAUAUUCUGUAGCAAGGUUAACCGAAUAGGGGAGCCGAAGGGAAACCGAGUCUUAACUGGGCGUUAAGUUGCAGGGUAUAGACCCGAAACCCGGUGAUCUAGCCAUGGGCAGGUUGAAGGUUGGGUAACACUAACUGGAGGACCGAACCGACUAAUGUUGAAAAAUUAGCGGAUGACUUGUGGCUGGGGGUGAAAGGCCAAUCAAACCGGGAGAUAGCUGGUUCUCCCCGAAAGCUAUUUAGGUAGCGCCUCGUGAAUUCAUCUCCGGGGGUAGAGCACUGUUUCGGCAAGGGGGUCAUCCCGACUUACCAACCCGAUGCAAACUGCGAAUACCGGAGAAUGUUAUCACGGGAGACACACGGCGGGUGCUAACGUCCGUCGUGAAGAGGGAAACAACCCAGACCGCCAGCUAAGGUCCCAAAGUCAUGGUUAAGUGGGAAACGAUGUGGGAAGGCCCAGACAGCCAGGAUGUUGGCUUAGAAGCAGCCAUCAUUUAAAGAAAGCGUAAUAGCUCACUGGUCGAGUCGGCCUGCGCGGAAGAUGUAACGGGGCUAAACCAUGCACCGAAGCUGCGGCAGCGACGCUUAUGCGUUGUUGGGUAGGGGAGCGUUCUGUAAGCCUGUGAAGGUGUGCUGUGAGGCAUGCUGGAGGUAUCAGAAGUGCGAAUGCUGACAUAAGUAACGAUAAAGCGGGUGAAAAGCCCGCUCGCCGGAAGACCAAGGGUUCCUGUCCAACGUUAAUCGGGGCAGGGUGAGUCGACCCCUAAGGCGAGGCCGAAAGGCGUAGUCGAUGGGAAACAGGUUAAUAUUCCUGUACUUGGUGUUACUGCGAAGGGGGGACGGAGAAGGCUAUGUUGGCCGGGCGACGGUUGUCCCGGUUUAAGCGUGUAGGCUGGUUUUCCAGGCAAAUCCGGAAAAUCAAGGCUGAGGCGUGAUGACGAGGCACUACGGUGCUGAAGCAACAAAUGCCCUGCUUCCAGGAAAAGCCUCUAAGCAUCAGGUAACAUCAAAUCGUACCCCAAACCGACACAGGUGGUCAGGUAGAGAAUACCAAGGCGCUUGAGAGAACUCGGGUGAAGGAACUAGGCAAAAUGGUGCCGUAACUUCGGGAGAAGGCACGCUGAUAUGUAGGUGAAGUCCCUCGCGGAUGGAGCUGAAAUCAGUCGAAGAUACCAGCUGGCUGCAACUGUUUAUUAAAAACACAGCACUGUGCAAACACGAAAGUGGACGUAUACGGUGUGACGCCUGCCCGGUGCCGGAAGGUUAAUUGAUGGGGUUAGCGCAAGCGAAGCUCUUGAUCGAAGCCCCGGUAAACGGCGGCCGUAACUAUAACGGUCCUAAGGUAGCGAAAUUCCUUGUCGGGUAAGUUCCGACCUGCACGAAUGGCGUAAUGAUGGCCAGGCUGUCUCCACCCGAGACUCAGUGAAAUUGAACUCGCUGUGAAGAUGCAGUGUACCCGCGGCAAGACGGAAAGACCCCGUGAACCUUUACUAUAGCUUGACACUGAACAUUGAGCCUUGAUGUGUAGGAUAGGUGGGAGGCUUAGAAGUGUGGACGCCAGUCUGCAUGGAGCCGACCUUGAAAUACCACCCUUUAAUGUUUGAUGUUCUAACGUUGACCCGUAAUCCGGGUUGCGGACAGUGUCUGGUGGGUAGUUUGACUGGGGCGGUCUCCUCCUAAAGAGUAACGGAGGAGCACGAAGGUUGGCUAAUCCUGGUCGGACAUCAGGAGGUUAGUGCAAUGGCAUAAGCCAGCUUGACUGCGAGCGUGACGGCGCGAGCAGGUGCGAAAGCAGGUCAUAGUGAUCCGGUGGUUCUGAAUGGAAGGGCCAUCGCUCAACGGAUAAAAGGUACUCCGGGGAUAACAGGCUGAUACCGCCCAAGAGUUCAUAUCGACGGCGGUGUUUGGCACCUCGAUGUCGGCUCAUCACAUCCUGGGGCUGAAGUAGGUCCCAAGGGUAUGGCUGUUCGCCAUUUAAAGUGGUACGCGAGCUGGGUUUAGAACGUCGUGAGACAGUUCGGUCCCUAUCUGCCGUGGGCGCUGGAGAACUGAGGGGGGCUGCUCCUAGUACGAGAGGACCGGAGUGGACGCAUCACUGGUGUUCGGGUUGUCAUGCCAAUGGCACUGCCCGGUAGCUAAAUGCGGAAGAGAUAAGUGCUGAAAGCAUCUAAGCACGAAACUUGCCCCGAGAUGAGUUCU
rnacentral:rRNA from 1 species